AGAUAAAUGAUAGUAGGAUUUGGAGUUUGAUGGAUUACACUGCUGCUGUUUCAACCUUAAAGAGGUGUUUCUGGGUGUUGCCAGAAGAGAUUAACAUUUGAGUCAGUGGACUGGGAGAGGAAGAUCUACCCUCAGGAAGACCCACCCACCAUGUAGGUGGGCACCAUCCAAUCAGCUGCCAGUGUGGCUAGAAAAAGCAGGCAGAAGAAGGUGGAAGAAGCUGACUUGCUGAGGCUUCUGGCCUUCAUCUUUCUCCCAUGCUGAAUAUUUCCUGCCCUUGAACAUCAGACUCCAAGUUCUAUGGUUUUUGAUCUCUUAGACUUACACCAGCGGUUUGCCAGGGACUCUCAGGCCUUCAGCCACAGAGCAAAGUCUGCACUGUCAGCUUCCCUACUUUUGAAGUUUUGGGACGUGGAAUGAACUACUACGGGCUUCCUUGUCCUCAACUUACAGACGGCCUGUCAUGGGAUUUCACUGUAUGAUCGUGUGAGUCAAUUCUCCUGAAUAAACUCCCUUUCAUAUAUACAUGUAUCACAUUAAUUCUGUCCCUCUAGAGAACCCUAAUACAUGGACAGACAGGGGAAAGACAAAUGCAGAUGCACCCAGAGAGCUAGAGCUUCUAGUUAAUCUUCCAAAUGACAGACUCCACCAUCUAAUAGCAACUCAAGCCUACCAUCUAAUAUUUGACUAGUUUCCUCAGAGGGGGCUGCCUUAUCAGAUCUCACUAUAAAAACACAUUUAGCUGAUGUGCCAGGCUCCCAGAUGUUUAUAACUUCUGAGAUCUUUCUGUGAGCUCUGAAACACCCACUCACAUCAUUGCUUGAAGCUAUUAGGGUUAAUGACCUUUCUCUAAUCUGGCUCUCCACUUUGAAGCUUUUCCUAACUUUGCCACAUUUGUGUAAGCUUUUAUUAAUACGAUAAACCCUUUUGUUCCUGUACUCUUAGUGGCUUUAUUUUGAUUACUGAAUUCCGACUAAUAAACCAUUUUUCAUGGCCGAAUAUGGGUCAUCUUCCAUUGGACUUUUCCAUAGUGUUUGAUCUUCAUUGCUAUACAUAAAUAUAACCUCAUGAAAACAAAUUAUAAUAUACAUAUUUAUAUGUGUGUCUGUAUGUCUGGGGGAUGUGCAUGUAUGCCUGUGAGGGUUUUGUGUGUGUGGAUGUAUUUUGAAACUUUAAAAAAAUCUUUUAAAAAAGCCUAAAAUUAUCACAAUAUUUUAAAGUAAAAUUCUUUUCCAAUCUUCACACUAUUAGAAGAGCCUUCACAAUUGUUUUAUGACCCUAAAAUGGUUGCAAAAAGUAUUUUAUGUAUUUAAUGAAGUAAAGAUGCAUAAUUAUUGGAUCCAGUCAAAUUGUUGUCAGAGCAUGUGGUUCAAAUUUGCUGAACUCUUAUGGUAAAUAAAUAUGCCUUACUGAAUUAAAACACACAAGGAUGGAUCAUUUAAGUGCAGAACACACUUGCUAUUUAAAUAAACCUUUAUACCUUUAAAGUCAUUUCUACCAGAUCAAUGACAUAGUUUUCAGAUUUCACUGGAAAAAGUAGAGUAAAUGAAAGAUUUUUCUCCACUGUAAAAACAUAUGCUACUAAUGGUCACAGGAGUGGGAUUGUGGAUCUGGUCUUUUUUUUCACUCUAUUGUUCUACCUGAGAACAUGUAUAGUACAAUGGAAUGUGCCAUGUUGGAAAUACAGCAAUGUGUAGUCAUAUUAUUCUAUUUUACUUGUUGCUUCAAUUUUUAUGAUUUUCUCUUCCUUUAGUUUUCGGAGAGCAAAUUAAUAGAAUAUUGACUUUUCUGUGACUAGUCUACUAAGAAGGCAU
rnacentral:lncRNA from 1 species